CGGCCAUGGUGAACGGGAAACACCCGGACUCAUUUCGAACCCGGAAGUUAAGCCGUUCACGUUCGGCUGGUAGUGGGACUCCGUGA
rnacentral:rRNA from 1 species